rnacentral:lncRNA from 1 species
AGACCGUCUUUCCUCACAGCUCCACGGCUGCAUCUCCGUGGGCACGCAAGCUUCCCCUGGUUACCUGAGCUGCUCCUGCCGUCUCCCGCCUGGGCUUCGCCGUGGUGCACCCGAUCCCGGAAUCGUGCGUCUGCGCCCUGCGAAAGAAGGACCUGCUGGCGGAGCUCCGGCCGGGGUCUCCUGCCUCGCAGCUGGGCGAGGGGACUUGGAGGACAGGGUGAAGCUGCAGAAGACCUGGGGUGGGAUGGCUAGAGAGGACGCCAAGGACUGGGGAAGGGGAAGUUAGGAAUACCUUACAUCCAAUGCCCACCCGUGCUCCGCAGGGCAAGGGCAGCCGUCGCCUCGGCCGCGUGCACCCAGCUCAGGCUGUUCCCAGGGAUUUAGUCUGGGGGGACAACCCAUGGCGAGAUGUGGUGGCAUUUUACCUCAGAGUGGAGCUGAAGAUGGAUAAACAAGGUAUCUGAUGUAUCUGCCUGAGAAGGCAGAGCUGGAGAAAGGCGGAGCGAGGGAGCGCGUGAAAAGAAAGAGAUGCCGAAUGCCGGGUGAUUGUCUGCCGCUUGCUGUGCAUUCUCAUUCUAGGGAGGAUGGCAUAAUUUAUAACCCAGCACAUGGAUAGAGGAACUGUAAAUUGUAGUCUGGAUGUCCCCGGCGCUGUCGACGAAGGAACUGAUGGGCUAGGCUCACAGGCAGAAGGAAUUUUCCUUGUCUUGGAUGAGACUUUUGACUUGGACUUUUGGGUUAAGGAUUUACAGAAAGCGUGGUGCUGGCAUCUGAUCAGCUUCUGGGGUGGCCUCAGGAAGCUUACAAUCAUGGUGGCAUUUGAAGUGGAAGCGAGAGAGAGAAGAGGAGAUGCAACACACUUUUAAACAAGAUUUCAGGAGAACUCAUUCACUAUGUUCUGGAGACCAGAAGGCCAAAAUCAAAAGUAUGGGCAGGCUUGAUUUCUUUAGAAGACUCCAGCGGAGAACUGUGUCUCCUUGCUUCUGGGCACCGAGGAAGAGAACCAAUGGCAGAGGCCACAUGUGCAAGCAAGAUGGGAGUCUGGAGAGCCUCAGGCUAAAUCACGAGUGCUCAGCCCUCUCCUCUUUGUAAGGGCAACCGGGUCAUAUCUGCCAGCAUAGAACUGCUCUGUCCACAGCCCUAAAAUCUAAUACCUAGAACAAUAAAUGCACUUAAGCACGUCAAACUC